rnacentral:lncRNA from 1 species
UUUUUUCUGUCUAUGAAGAAAUACCAUAAAAAUGUUGGUGCACACUGAAUAACGCCCGUAGCGGGUUAUUUAACAGUGUGCACCACAUUUUUUUAUGUUAUUUCGAAUAGACAGAAAAAAAUAUUACAGUCAUUUCUUAUAAUUUAAUUCUAAAUUCCAUUUUAAACCGUAGAAAACCAUGAAAAAACGUUGAUUACGUCACGGUCACGUGACUAAAUUAUGUCUAUGGGCU